UACGUAGGUGACAAGCGUUAUCCGGAAUUACUGGGCGUAAAGCGCACGCAGGCGGCCGAGUAAGUCUGACGUGAAAUCUCCCGGCUUAACUGGGAGGGGUCGUUGGAGACUGAUGUGCUUGAGGCGAUGAGAGGGGUGUAGAAUUCCCGGUGUAGUGGUGGAAUGCGUAGAUAUCGGGAGGAAUACCAGUGGCGAAAGCGACACCCUGGCAUUAGCCUGACGCUCAUGUGCGAAGGCGUGGGGAGCGAACGGG
rnacentral:rRNA from 1 species